rnacentral:rRNA from 1 species
GAUGAACGCUAGCGGCAGGCUUAAUACAUGCAAGUCGUGGGGCAGCAGGACUGUAGCAAUACAGUUGCUGGCGACCGGCAAACGGGUGCGGAACACGUACGCAACUUACCCUGAACUGGGGGAUAGCCCGGGGAAACCCGGAUUAAUACCCCGUAAUAUAAUGGAGUGGCAUCACUUUAUUAUUAAAGCUCCGGCGGUUCGGGAUGGGCGUGCGGCUGAUUAGGUAGUUGGUUGAGGUAACGGCUCACCAAGCCUACGAUCAGUAACUGGUGUGAGAGCACGACCCGUCAACGGGGCAAUGAGACACGGGCCCGACCCCACGGGGGGGAAGAAGUAAGGAAUAUUGGGCAAGGGGGGAAACUCUGCCCCGGCCAGGCCGGGGGGGGGAUGAAGGCCCUUGGGGUUGAAAAUUUCUUUUAUGGGGGACAAAACCUGGUGUUUUUUACGCAGUUGACGGUACCCUAGGAAAAAGCCCCGGCUAACCCCG